GGACCCCGGACGCCCCCGGACGCCCCCGCCGCCCCGCCGCCCCGCCGCAGGCAGAGGCCUCAAGCCAGAGCCCCAUGGGGUCGCCGUGCCUGCGGCCCUACUAGCCCCACGGCGAUGGACCUGAACUUCACAUGAAAGCUGACGCUCCACAGCCACCUAGUUGAUCGAGGAAUCCAAAUGGCACCUCGUUCAAGGAAACCAUAAAACUCUCUCCUGCCACCGCAGUUGCAGUCCAGUGCCACCUUGGAAAGUAGAUGCAAAUAACGCUCCGAACGCCUGAGGUUUGAAGCCCCAGCACUGGGAGGCCUUUGAUACUCCCAGUGCCUGAGGUCGGCCCCCACGCCCUGUUGCGAUACACACGCCUAGGCACUACGCCUCCUACACGCUCUUGCUCAGAGAGGUACCAAAAUAGAAGACUGCCUGCCAGGAAGAGAGGUGUUUAGUUACACAUCACAGAUGACUGUCACAAGCCAACUUAGCCAAAGCAGUAAAAGCCGCAUGCCCCACACCAUUGUGAAACUAUGAGCUGUGGACAAUGAAACAGGAAUUGCCUUCUAUGAUGGGAGAGAAAAAAAAAAAAAAGUAUUGACAAGACAUUUAAAAAAUCGUGUCUUGAUGAGGAAAUGAAUGUCAAUAUUGUUUGUAGUAAAUUCUGAACAAUGAUCUUCAUGGACUACCCCCCUCAGCCUCCCCAAAUCUUCCUAUAUUUAGAAAACUUCCCAAACAGUUGCUCAAGAUGAACUUUUAAACUAGAAUGGUGUGAUUUUAAAACUUAUUUCAAAAUUCAAAUUGAUUUCAGAGUUCAGACUUUGCAUUCAGGAAAAUUAUUUGGCAAAAUGAGGCCAAAUGAAUUCCAAGUACCCAAAUAUAAAAUCAAAUCUGGCCUAGGUUCUAUGGCUGUAAUAAAAGAAUUAAGAUGUAUGUAUUCUACUGCCCCCUCAUGGGUAAGAUGGAGAUAUAACUGACAGUAGUUAAUGCCUUUUAAGUCUGAGAAUGCCUUUUAAGUCUGAGAAUAGAAUGCCUUUUAAGUCUUAGCAAUCUGUAUUACUUUGAUGACAUAGAGGACAAGGUAAAAUCAAAUCAGGUUCUCUAAGGGACUUAAAUACUCAGUAAACAGAGUUCAACUUCAGAAACCAGAGAGAGGAUUCUUACACUAGGACUAGUAUAAACACGCAGUCAGGAUCACACCCAUGCUUAGGGUUACUUGUAUAGAAUGUGGAAACAAGCAGGAAUUUGCCUUUAAUUUUUUUUUCCAUUUGAAAAGUCUUUACCCACUGAGAUGUUUUAAAAUCUUCUUUUUCACAUUUGUAUCCACCCAUCCUACCACUUCACACUGUGAACAACUUGAGAGUAGAAAUGAAAUCUUAUUCUUGAUACCUUUGUUGUGUAAAUUGUACCUGAUACUUGAGCUGUUCAAUCAGUAGUUCUUUAAUAAUUACUAUCAGCCCAGCCACUAGAUGGCAACACAGUUGUAUGUGUAGAAGUAUAGUCUAGCUAAUUGGAAUUCUACCUGGCCUUGAGUAAACAGGCAGGUUUCUAAAAAGUUAUGUGUACGUCUUAUUUUGGUAAGUGAAGUUAUUUAGAACCUACAAGAACAGAUGACUAUAACUUUAUUGCCAAUUAUAUCCUUACAACUAAGAAUCCUUUUUGUAAGAUAAAUUCUCCCUAAGUACAGAUUUUUCUAUAUUGAGCAACACCUGUGUUUGUCUAAGAAUGCCAGUCUCCUGUUGCAUCCUAUCAGAAGGACUUUUCAAUGGCCUAAGUGCCUUAAGCACAUUUCAUUCUAUAAACCAAAAGCCUACAUUCUCCCAAAGUCACUUGCUCAAUCUUUUGCCCCACCUCCAUAGUUAUUUAUAGUUUUUAAGAUGAGGCAAAAAUACCAGCAAAUGUUUUGCCUGAAAGUCAUGGAGACUCUGGAGGCAACCAAACCCAUGUCUCCAUUGCUAUCACUCAAUGGAUGUGUCCCUGUGCAGGUUAUUAACUUCAUUAACCUCAGUUUACUCAUCUUCCCCCAAAUGAGGAUAAUAUUAUCUACUUCAUAAAGUGAAAAUGAUUAAAUGAAA